rnacentral:rRNA from 1 species
GAUGAACGCUGGCGGCGUGCCUAAUACAUGCAAGUCGAGCGAACGGACGAGAAGCUUGCUUCUCUGAUGUUAGCGGCGGACGGGUGAGUAACACGUGGAUAACCUACCUAUAAGACUGGGAUAACUUCGGGAAACCGGAGCUAAUACCGGAUGAUAUUUUGAACCGCAUGGUUCAAAAGUGAAAGACGGUCUUGCUGUCACUUAUAGAUGGAUCCGCGCUGCAUUUGCUAGUUGGUAAGGUAACGGCUUACCAAGGCAACGAUGCAUAGCCGACCUGAGAGGGUGAUCGGCCACACUGGAACUGAGACACGGUCCAGACUCCUACGGGAGGCAGCAGUAGGGAAUCUUCCGCAAUGGGCGAAAGCCUGACGGAGCAACGCCGCGUGAGUGAUGAAGGUCUUCGGAUCGUAAAACUCUGUUAUUAGGGAAGAACAUAUGUGUAAGUAACUGUGCACAUCUUGACGGUACCUAAUCAGAAAGCCACGGCUAACCACGUG